rnacentral:rRNA from 1 species
UGGGGAAUCUUGCGCAAUGGACGAAAGUCUGACGCAGCGACGCCGCGUGGGGGAUGAAGGCUUUCGGGUUGUAAACCCCUGUUGCCCGGGACGAACUUCUGCUUUCGAGCAGAUUGACGGUACCGGGUGAGGAAGCACCGGCUAACUCUGUGCCAGCAGCCGCGGUAAUACAGAGGGUGCGAGCGUUGUCCGGAAUCACUGGGCGUAAAGGGCGCGUAGGUGGCCCGACCAGUCCGUGGUGAAAGCUCGACGCUCAACGUCGAGUCGGCCAUGGAUACUGUGGGGCUGGAGCACUGUAGAGGCUCAUGGAAUUCCGGGUGUAGCGGUGGAAUGCGUAGAGAUCCGGAAGAACACCGGUGGCGAAGGCGGUGAGCUGGGCAGUAGCUGACACUGAGGCGCGACAGCGUGGGGAGCAAACA